UGUUAGGACCCGUGGGUUGGAUUCUUGUCGAACAAUAAAAGUUGGGGUUGCCGACGCGCAAACAAAACCCCGAGUCAAAGUGUGUGUGAGCCGCCGCGGUGUGUGCACGCUGCAGUGGGCGCACAACAGCCAGCUGCUGCCGCUGGGGGUGUGUGUGUGUGUGUGUGUUCGGCGUGUGACAGCAGAGGGUCGGGGACGCUGCUCCGACAAGCGUUUUCCCGGAAGAGAGGGUGUGAAACAUGGGACACACAUCUGAGGUCAGCGGCUGAUCCCGACACACGUCUGACACGCCGAAACACCUUGUGUGUGAGCGCGCGCGCGCGCGUGUGUGUGUGGACGUCUCUCUGUCGGUCCGUGUUGAUGACCGGCUGAGGAACCGGACUGAGACCAGCAGGGCACCGCGCCUCCGAACGGGACAUCCCUCCGGAUCCUCUGCGUCUGGACCGCUGACAGCAGGGAGCUCCAGCACUCCGCCUGGGCCUUGGUGAGAGCCUGAACGUUGUGACCACAGGCUGGCCCGGGUCACGUUGAUGCUGGUGGGCAAUCCCCAGAUCCCUCCCCGCCACCUGCUCCCGCGCUGCUCCCAUCUCCCCACUCCACCAUGGCUAUGAGCGGUGACCCUGGCAGCGAGAGGCUGGACCCAGACGCCGACAAACAGGCUGGCAGUCUCACGGACACCCUGGCCGCCAUGACGACCAAAGACUUGGAGGGCUCCGCUGCCAACGGCGUGAGGAACGGCGGGGCUCAGACGGACAGGGCUCAGGCGAAGAGGACCCAUCCGCCACGGCCUCACCUGAGUGGGAGGAAGUUGUCGCUGCAGGAGAGAGGCACUUACUCGGGCUCUGGGGGAAGGUACACGCAAAUCUCCCCUCGUGUGGCUCGCAGGCCCACCGUGGAGUCCAAGCGGGUAUCCAUAUCAGACUCUCAGGACUGCAUCCAGUUGAACCAGUAUAAGCUGAAGAGUGAGAUCGGAAAGGGCUCCUACGGUGUGGUCAAGCUGGCGUACAAUGAGGAUGACGACAAACACUACGCCAUGAAGGUGGUGUCCAAGAAGAAGUUAAUGAAGCAGUGUGGUUUCCCACGUCGCCCUCCCCCGAGAGGACCGAAGGCAGCCCAAGGAGAGCAGCCCAAAAUCCUCGGGCCCCUGGAGAGGGUCUACCAAGAGAUCGCCAUCCUUAAGAAGCUGGACCAUCUUAAUAUCGUCAAGCUGGUGGAGGUUCUGGAUGAUCCAGCGGAGGACAACCUUCACAUGGUGUUUGAGCUGAUGCGUAAGGGUCCGGUGAUGGAAGUGCCCUCAGACAGUCCUUUGUCGGAAGAGCAGGCGAGGUUAUACUUCAGAGACGUCAUCCUGGGCAUAGAGUACCUGCACUACCAGAAAAUUGUCCACCGGGACAUCAAGCCCUCGAACUUGUUACUCGGCGACGAUGGCCACGUGAAGAUAGCCGACUUUGGGGUGAGCAACCAGUUUGAGGGCAACGAUGCUUUGCUGUCCAGCACUGCUGGCACGCCUGCGUUUAUGGCGCCAGAGACCCUCUCUGACACGCGAAAGAGCUUCAGUGGAAAAGCGCUGGACGUGUGGGCCAUGGGAGUGACUCUCUACUGUUUCGUCUUUGGGAAGUGCCCAUUUAUUGACGAGUACAUAUUGGCUUUGCACAAUAAGAUAAGGACCAGGCCUGUGGAGUUCCCAGAAACGCCGAAGAUCAGCGAAGAGCUGCGGACGCUGAUCUUGCGGAUGCUGGACAAGAACCCUGACAACAGGAUCACCAUCCCAGAGAUAAAGAUGGACCAGUGGGUGACCCAGGGAGGCAGCGACCCCUUGCCUCUGGAGGAGGAGCACUGCUCGGUGGUGGAGGUGACCGAGGAGGACAUCCAGAACUCGGUCAAGUUCGUCCCCAGCCUCUCCGCAGUGAUCUUGGUCAGAGCCAUGCUGAGGAAGCGCUCCUUCAGCAACCCCUUCGAGUGUCCGAGCAGGAGAGAGGAGCGCUCCAUGUCUGCGCCCGGCAGCCUGCUCAUGGACUCGUGGCCCUUCCGGCCCUCUUUUAAACUCCACCCCUCACUCAGACCGCUCAACUCUCGCUUACCCCUCCAUCAAGAAAAGUGACGGAGCAGCCAUCCCUUCAGCUGUCCUGCCACCCUUUCCCACCCCAACCCCGCUGCUGUCAUAAAGAGCAGCACAGGAGAGGGACCCAGAGAGGGAGAGCUGGAGGACCUGCACGAAGACGAGCCCUCUUGAGUUGCGUCGCGUCGGCAGAGCUUUGUCUUCGUCCUCUUUGCUCCAACCAUUUCCGCGCUCACCCCCCCUCUCCCCCUCCACACAUUUCCCUUCUAAUCUGUGAAACACUACAGGCGUACCAUUCCACACGCCAGAGAGACUCUGCGUUUUAAAUCGGGUAAAUCGCUUGUGUUAGCAUUCAGACUUGCGUACGCUCAAGCUUCCUUUUUUCUCGCCCCAGUUUCCCAACCGUCGUCCUUCCCCAAUAUGGAGUCUCCGGGGCACCAAGUUUUGGUCGACACUGUUCCUCAUCGUAACCGCUCAACCACUUAACUGUUUUGUCUGGCGUCGGUGGACCGAUAAGAAGGGGAACUCUGCUGAAUUUCUGGAUCAUUAUCAGCUGAAAUCACUGUUGUGGGAGAAAUGUGAGAACAUGUUUGGCAGUUUUUUUUUUUUUUUUCCCACAUUGGAGUGUAAUGCCAGCUGACAAACUCAGAUUUUUUUUUUUAUUAUUUAUUUAUUUUUUAUUAGAAUCGGUCUGCAUGAUGAAUAUUCGAGCGUCAUCGUCAGACUGACAACGACCACCUGUCACAGUCAUCGCCAGCCUGGUCAAGAGGAAAAAAAAGAAAAACCCCUCUUCUAUAAUCAGCAUGUAAAUGACACCACAUUGUCUCCUCAGUGAACUACAGGGCUUUUUAUUUAUGGUGGAUGGAACGGUCGUUUUGAUAUUGUACAUAGAUGUCUCGAGGUGUCCUCAGUGUUAUCGUCUCCCAGCCCUGUUCCCUGUACAUGUGCCAUCGGUAGCUUUUUUUUUUUUCACACGUGAGUCGGUUGAUAAAGGUCUAAGUCCUUCCCGUGCUGCCUUCACUGUCCUCGGGCCUGACCAGCUGGACUUCUCCGACAGGAAGUAAAGGAAGUCAGCUGUCUGAGGAUGAUCACACACAAAAGGAAAGCAUCACGUUUCAAGUUUUGACAUUGUGUGAUGUGUCGUCACACUUCUUCUUCUACUGCGUUCCGUGUGUUGUUCGUCCGUCGAGUUCCGUCCCUUAACACUGUCUCUUUUCUAUAUAAUGUGACAAAACUGGCACAUUGUGCAGCGUAUGUUAUGUCACAUUGAGUGUGAAUAUACUGAAAGGAUGUAAAUUACUCCUAUUGCCUGUCAUGUGAAUUACUCCCCUUCCAAUUUAGAAUUUAUUGUUAACCGAUAUUCUUCGAUGCAGAGCUAAUUUAAAGGCGCGAAUAAUCCAGUCGUCCUCUUCUAGAAGAGAUCUGCUCCUCCAGAGUUAUCCAGGCUAAGGGACUGUAUGCAAAUUACUAUGGGGGAGAGGGAGUCGUAGGGGAGGGGGGGAGGGUAGUCAGCAUCGAAGAUUAUUUAAGUAGACUUACAUUUCUAUAGUGCUUAUAGUCGCCAGCAGCGAUCUCCGGGGCUGAAAAAUGUAGCCAACACAGAAGUGCCAGUAGCAGUUCCUCGAAUUGCCACUCGAGGCUGCCUCCCAAAGUGAGUCAAUUCCCACAAGAGCGCCGUGAAAAGGACCACGUCCGAAUGGCCGAUUUUACUGCAGAAAUGUUCACAGCCUGGUACAAAACAUUAGAUAGCCAGUUUCACGGUUUAUGACAACUGUUUCAAACAAUUGCGUUUGAUUUUUUCUCGAGGGAGCCUCCUCUUCAAGUGAUGGCAAGUCGCAAACCAUCUGCUCGGCGUCCCCUCAGCUAAUUCCACUCACCGAUCUCGACUUCCUGACCGUGCUUGCGGCAUCCAUUUGGAUACUUUUAAUGCAAAUAUUGGACAAGAACUACGGCUUUCUGUGCAGUUAAAUGUACAUUGUAAUUGAAGCACUUUCUUCUGCAUCAUAACAAUUUUUUUUUUUCUAAAUAAGUCAGUAAAAUAAAGUGAAUAAUAGUGGGCCUAUUCUGUUAUUCAGUUUCAGCCUUUUGCUUUGUUAACCAUUUCAUUACUCCAUUAAUGUAUAUUUGAUAAAUAUAGAACGAUAUGUUAAUAAGAUAUAAAUCAGAUUUAAUUUGUUUGAUUAGAAUCAGAUUACAACACCCCAAAUUCUUUGUACUUUGCCUCUUCUAGUUAUUAAAUUUGACUGUGUUGUACCAGCUCAUAAUCAUAUUGAAACAUAGAAGGUGGAUGUUGUUGCAGUUUAUUUUUAUUUUUAUUUAUUAAUUAUCUUUUGUAAGGAUUCAAAUAAAAUAUUAAUAAUGCAAUGGGGUUGUGCAAUUUUGGCAGCUGUAAAAAAGCUUGAAAAGAUUUGACCUCCUCUCCCAGUAACUUUCAUACAGUCCCUAACACCACUGAUUUGUCCUGGCUGACCUUUUGAACAUCCAGGUCUUGACAUGUUUGUAGAGGUAGCUACAGGUGGCUAGUCAGUUAACAUGCCAGUCCUGUUGGAUCACAAUGGAAAAAGAAGAUGCAAUUUAUUUGCGACUUGAGGGCUUUGUUUGCUUUCCAGGUGGUCGGCCAACUUUAAAAAAAGCCUCGCGUGUGGGCCGUUUUGUCUCCGCCGACUCGAAUCAAUGGGAACAUUUCUGCCUCCGCUGCAGCUCUAUCCUCAGAUAAAUGUUUACAUAACUCCAUUUGACUCCUUCCUCCUCCUCCUCCUCCUCGGCCUGGUGCAUUGCUCUGUAAAAGGGAAGUGUGUUUGGCCCAUCGGAGUGCUCCAAACCACUCAAACCGCUGUGAAACAGGAGCAUUUCGGUGUCGUGAUUGGGGCCCGGCUCCCAACAGCAACAACACUUCCAUGUCCACUCGAGUGCCGGCCCCAGUGUGGCUGAUCAGAGACGUGGAGUGCAGCGUUUUGCAUUUCCUCCAUUAAUCUCGGCCCUCGGUAUCCUCCGGUGAGGGCUGCUAAUUCAGGCUCAGAGAGGAGAGGGAUUGGCCGAAGCUGAGUAGGAGCACAUUUCACAUACUGCUACUGAGCCUCUGUGUUCCGGGGGGGAUUAAUGUUCACAGAGGCGGCGGCUUUAUACAUAAAAACCACAAAUGCUAUUGACAGACAAGUGUCAACUCAAUCAUUAUGUGAGUGAUGGAGAAUGUAAAGCUUUAUACCUUUUUUUUAAUUUUAUGGACCAGUAAAAGAUCUAUUUGUAGAUGUUAAAUGUAUACCUUAAUGUCUGAUUGCCUGAGAUGUCAUAUAUGUAUAAUGAGGGCUUAUUGUCGUUGAUUUAAUUAGUUUUGUUACGUUCGCUCUGCUGAUGAUGAUGGAAGUGAAAGAAGCCCGAGGUGUGUUUGCAGAGUAACCUUCAAUGAAGGGCUGUUUGAACCAAAAAAAGUGUAAAAUGUUGUGUAAUAUUUUUACUGGAAUGUUUUCAGCUUACAUUUGUGUGUUUGUAUGUACUUUUUUUUUUCAGUGUCAGAGGUGCAAUAUCGUUAUCGUCAGUGCAUUAUCGGCUCAUUUCCCUGCUGUCCAAACACUGCUUAAACACUGCUUCUAUUUAAGUAUUUGCACUUUGCCACUUACAGACAACAUAUUAAAGUUAUUGCGAUUACAGUCUGUAGAACACUUCUGGUACCUGUCGACCAUUUAACAUUGUACAGUUCGCGAUCGAGGUUCACCUGUAAAAGGCCAUAGCUGCUUUGUAUCAGUGUGUUGUCACAGUUUCCUGUGCUUCUCAAAACAUUGCUCUUUGAUAUCAAUCUGCAUGUCACAGCAUUGCAAUUACAGUUUUGACUUCUCUUUUUUUAUUUAAAUUACAAAUGAAACUACAAUGUUUCCAUUUUCCGGUAACUUAUUCUCCCGUCUGUGUCAAAAAUACUGCAACAGCUGCAGAUCCAACUAAGAUUGCUUUUGAAUUGUUGCUUUUUCUCGUGCAUAUACUUAAAACAACAGAAUUGUGAAUGAUGUACAAGUAUAACUUCGGGCAAGGGACUUCUGAGUUUUUACUGCAGAGGUGAUGUAAACCCUGUUACAUGAGCAGGAGCAGCUUGGAAUAGCAGCGCUGUGUUCGAGAUCUUCUCUCACGACGCGGUAAUGAAUGAUGAAAGACCCUGUUAAUAGUUUACUGUGUUUGAUUUCAUCUUUACCUCUGCAGUGGUCGUGUUUUCUGUCCUACUUUCCUUUUCCUGACUUUUAAGGAGGUCAUAUUACGCUUUUUUUGGUUUUUGCCUUUACUUUAUUGUGUUAUGUGGCAUUUUCGUGCUCGUAAAAGGUCCGCUUUGGAGUCAAGCCUUUACUUCUAUAAACUACAUGCAUCACUAUGUAACAUGAAUAUAUAUUUAUAUAUUUAUUAUAGAAUAUACUCCAGUCAGUCAGCAGACAUAGAGUUGCUACUGCUGUGGCGGUGUUAUUUUAGAUCACACUACCUUGCUUGGCACGACCCGCCCUACUCUGCCUCUGAUUGGCUACAUCCUGCCCGUUAAGUAAUGCACAUGUGCAAAGAUCGAGAUGUCUGACUCUUUAGGCGAAACGGAGCAUUCAAGACACCGCGUGAAAAGGGACGCUGCAGCAGUGCACCAUAUGAGAAAAACAAUGUGUUUUUGGAAAAUGAAAGUAUGUAAACCUCUUUUACUAGGACCCCCAAAUAAAAGUAUGACUCCGAAAAUGUGCAUAAUAUGGCCUCUUUAAACACAUCCACAUUUUCUAAACAGAUUUCAUUUAUAUUUGUUAGAAAAUGAGACAACGGAGCGAGGGAGAGACGUUUUUGUUGCAUUACAUUACUGUGUGGCCAUUUGAAAACCUUUUACACGCGAGUUUUAAUGUUGUAAUUCCUGAACUGAUCCUUUUUUCAGUCAAUCCACACAGGAUCCGUUCACCUCUACAGGCAUUUCAGCCACCAAACUGAUGCCAAUCUUUGCUGAAUUUGAGACGUUAACAACCUUAAUUGCAGUCACACCAGUCAUAACUCUGAGGCCAUGUGCAGUUGCAACAUAAUUUGAAGAGGCAAUUUGUAAGAUGGCCAGAACAGUGUUGACAUUGAUGCACUGUGUUACAGAGAUGUCUCCUGAAGUUACCAUGCUAACUAGCUAACCCCGGCCUGUCCUGUCUUCUUAUACCACUGUGUGUCAGCAAGAGGCUGGGAGAUGUAAGAAAAGUCGAGUCUCAACCUGUCAAAUCAUGAUACUGGAGGUUUCCCAACUUCAGUUGGGAAUGAGACUCAAAAGAUUAGACACUUAUCUAACAAAUAGCACCUGCAGUGUCGGGAAUAAGUAAACAAAAUAGACCCAAAAAAUGUCAAGACAGGAGAUGUUUUACACCAAUUUUCCACAAACCGAAUAAAAAUGAAAUGACCUCCUCUCUUUUUGCCAAAGAAAUUGCCUUGUUAAAUCUUUCAAACUUGACAGAAAUGGAAAAAACCCACCAAAAAAGUCUGAGUUUGUCUUUUCACAAUCACCACCGGUUCGGUCAAAAUAAAUCCUCAAUUCACACAGUGCUGAUUUACCGACCCUCCCUCUCUCCCCUCCGCCUGCCUUGUCAUCUCAUCUACUUAUCAUAGUCAGAGCUGCUUUAAGCUAGUCUGACUCAGUAGAUGUAGACUGUUGUUAUGAGUCUGCCGCCGCUGGGCGCCCACUUCAGGUCGGGUUCUCCUCCCCUCAGCUAUCUACGCGUACUGUUUUCGCAAAAGGCAAGUCCAGUCAAGUGACACAGUGUGAAGUGGUAAUGCUGCCCCUCCAGAGUUUUGUAGCCAUGUCCCAAGUUCUGGCCAUUUCUCACAAAUUAGACCUUUAAAUGACAUCUGCACAUACUGCAUUAAUUGCAUUUGAUUGAAUUUUGCUUCACGGUUGUAACUUAGUGAUAACCUGGACGAUUCUACAGUUUGAAGCCUAGAUUUAUCUAGGCUUAUCUUCUCCAAAGAUAAGCGCUCUUUAAUCACCGUUUUGAUGCACAUAUUGGGCGCUAUUUUAAAAACAGCCAAAUGUCUUGUAUUGUGCAGCCUCGGCAAAGGUCUGCUCAGUGUAAAUGGCUUCUUGCUCGGCAACUGGAGUGAAACGGGAGGGAAUUCGAUGGCUGCAGAUGCCUCGGUCGCAGCACGGGAAGUGAGCAACAGCGACCAAUUCCUCAGGAUUUCAGGUCAUUACUGCACACAAAGGGAGGAGGACUGAGGGAGUGAGCUUGUGUGUACUGUGAGGCCAGGGAUGACAGUGUGACGUCUGUCCCGGUGUGUGUGUGUGUGUUUGUGUGUGUGUUUUGAAGGUGCCUGCUGCCUCUGUUUUUCUGUCUCGUGUCGCCCCGUGCAUGUCUCUGAAUGUACUCACUCGCCUGACGCCCAUACGAAAAAACAGAAGCAUGGCACACCCCUAUGGAAUGCAGUUGUUGCGAUGUAAAUAUGUACCAAUAUAUAUAUAAAGAAGCUAUUUUUUGCAUGCUUUUUGUACACCUAGACAUAAAGACAAUAAAAAUUCAACCUGAAA